GAUGUUAGCGGCGGACGGGUGAGUAACACGUGGGUAACCUGCCUGUAAGACUGGGAUAACUCCGGGAAACCGGAGCUAAUACCGGAUAGUUCCUUGAACCGCAUGGUUCAAGGAUGAAAGACGGUUUCGGCUGUCACUUACAGAUGGACCCGCGGCGCAUUAGCUAGUUGGUGAGGUAACGGCUCACCAAGGCGACGAUGCGUAGCCGACCUGAGAGGGUGAUCGGCCACACUGGGACUGAGACACGGCCCAGACUCCUACGGGAGGCAGCAGUAGGGAAUCUUCCGCAAUGGACGAAAGUCUGACGGAGCAACGCCGCGUGAGUGAUGAAGGUUUUCGGAUCGUAAAGCUCUGUUGUUAGGGAAGAACAAGUGCAAGAGUAACUGCUUGCACCUUGACGGUACCUAACCAGAAAGCCACGGCUAACUACGUGCCAGCAGCCGCGGUAAUACGUAGGUGGCAAGCGUUGUCCGGAAUUAUUGGGCGUAAAGGGCUCGCAGGCGGUUUCUUAAGUCUGAUGUGAAAGCCCCCGGCUCAACCGGGGAGGGUCAUUGGAAACUGGGAAACUUGAGUGCAGAAGAGGAGAGUGGAAUUCCACGUGUAGCGGUGAAAUGCGUAGAGAUGUGGAGGAACACCAGUGGCGAAGGCGACUCUCUGGUCUGUAACUGACGCUGAGGAGCG
rnacentral:rRNA from 1 species